GACCCGAAACCCGGUGAUCUAGCCAUGGGCAGGUUGAAGGUUGGGUAACACUAACUGGAGGACCGAACCGACUAAUGUUGAAAAAUUAGCGGAUGACCUGUGGCUGGGGGUGAAAGGCCAAUCAAACCGGGAGAUAGCUGGUUCUCCCCGAAAGCUAUUUAGGUAGCGCCUCGUGAAUUCAUCUCCGGGGGUAGAGCACUGUUUCGGCUAGGGGGCCAUCCCGGCUUACCAACCCGAUGCAAACUGCGAAUACCGGAGAAUGUUAUCACGGGAGACACACGGCGGGUGCUAACGUCCGUCGUGAAGAGGGAAACAACCCAGACCGCCAGCUAAGGUCCCAAAGUCAUGGUUAAGUGGGAAACGAUGUGGGAAGGCCCAGACAGCCAGGAUGUUGGCUUAGAAGCAGCCAUCAUUUAAAGAAAGCGUAAUAGCUCACUGGUCGAGUCGGCCUGCGCGGAAGAUGUAACGGGGCUAAACCAUGCACCGAAGCUGCGGCAGCGAACGUAUCACCCAAGACAACUUUACGGAGUUGACGAUUGACGGAGCGAAGCGACGUCAAAGCGUUCAUUAAAGUCGAGUUGGCUUAGGGAUACGUUCGUUGGGUAGGGGAGCGUUCUGUAAGCCUGUGAAGGUGUGUCGUGAGGCAUGCUGGAGGUAUCAGAAGUGCGAAUGCUGACAUAAGUAACGAUAAAGCGGGUGAAAAGCCCGCUCGCCGGAAGACCAAGGGUUCCUGUCCAACGUUAAUCGGGGCAGGGUGAGUCGACCCCUAAGGCGAGGCCGAAAGGCGUAGUCGAUGGGAAACGGGUUAAUAUUCCCGUACUUGGUGUUACUGCGAAGGGGGGACGGAGAAGGCUAUGUUGGCCGGGCGACGGUUGUCCCGGUUUAAGCGUGUAGGUGUGUGUUCCAGGUAAAUCCGGUUCACUUUAACACUGAGGCGUGACGACGAGGCACUACGGUGCUGAAGCAACAAAUGCCCUGCUUCCAGGAAAA
rnacentral:rRNA from 1 species